rnacentral:rRNA from 1 species
GAUGACGUCAAGUCAUCAUGGCCCUUACGACCAGGGCUACACACGUGCUACAAUGGCGCAUACAAAGAGAAGCGACCUCGCGAGAGCAAGCGGACCUCAUAAAGUGCGUCGUAGUCCGGAUUGGAGUCUGCAACUCGACUCCAUGAAGUCGGAAUCGCUAGUAAUCGUGGAUCAGAAUGCCACGGUGAAUACGUUCCCGGGCCUUGUACACACCGCCCGUCACACCAUGGGAGUGGGUUGCAAAAGAAGUAGGUAGCUUAACCUUCGGGAGGGCGCUUACCACUUUGUGAUUCAUGACUGGGGUGAAGUCGUAACAAGGUAACCGUAGGGGAACCUGCGGUUGGAUCACCUCCUUA